UACGAAGGGGGCGAGCGUUGUUCGGAAUUACUGGGCGUAAAGGGCGCGUAGGCGGCCGAUCAAGUUAGAUGUGAAAGUCCUGGGCUUAACCUGGGGACUGCAUUUGAUACUGAUUGGCUUGAAUUCGGGAGAGGAUAGCGGAAUUCCCAGUGUAGAGGUGAAAUUCGUAGAUAUCGGGAGGAACACCGGUGGCGAAGGCGGCGACCUGGGUCGAUACUGACGCUGAGGUGCGAAAGCGUGGGGAGCAAACAGG
rnacentral:rRNA from 1 species